UACGUAGGCAGCGAGCGUUGUUCGGAAUUACUGGGCGUAAAGAGUGUGUAGGCGGCGCUCUAAGUUCGGUGUGAAAUCUCUCGGCUUAACUCCGAAACUGCAUUCGAUACUGCGGUGCUUGAGGACUGGAGAGGAGACUGGAAUUCAUGGUGUAGCAGUGAAAUGCGUAGAGAUCAUGAGGAAGACCAGUGGCGAAGGCGGGUCUCUGGACAGUUCCUGACACUGAGACACGAAGGCCAGGGGAGCAAACGGG
rnacentral:rRNA from 1 species